UACGUAGGCAGCAAGCGUUGCUCGGAAUCACUGGGCGUAAAGCGCACGUAGGCGGCUUUUUAAGUCAGAGGUGAAAUCCUGGAGCUCAACUCCAGAACUGCCUUUGAUACUGGAGAGCUUGAGUCCGGGAGAGGUGAGUGGAACUGCGAGUGUAGAGGUGAAAUUCGUAGAUAUUCGCAAGAACACCAGUGGCGAAGGCGGCUCACUGGCCCGGUACUGACGCUGAGGUGCGAAAGCGUGG
rnacentral:rRNA from 1 species